AAGUCGUAACAAGGUUUCCGUAGGUGAACCUGCGGAAGGAUCAUUACCAAUUCAACGGUGUGGUCGCGGCCUCCGGGGGCUCCCCCCGGGCGGUAGAGGUAACACUCUUACGCGCCACAUGUCUGAAUCCUUUUUUUACGAGCACCUUUCGUUCUCCUUCGGUGGGGCAACCUGCCGUUGGAACUUAUCAAAACCUUUUUUGCAUCUAGCAUUACCUGUUCGGAUACAAACAAUCGUUACAACUUUCAACAAUGGAUCUCUUGGCUCUG
rnacentral:misc_RNA from 1 species